ACGUCACCAUCAGAUCUGGAGCAGCUGGCAGAGAUCGAGCUUCAGAAGGACGAAGAGGAGGAUGAUGAUGAUGAUGUCACAGACGGUCCGUCGGUUCCUCCAAUCAGCAGAUCCGGUGCUGAUUCUUCUCACCCGUAUUAUGACGUAGCUCGACACGGAAUCAUCCAGGUCUCAGGUGACGACAGGUACGGCAGGAAGUUGAUCAUCUUCAGCAGCUGCUGUUUGCCUCCAUCUCACCAGCUGAACCACCGCCGCCUGCUGGAGUGAGUCCAGACAGACACACACCCGUAGACAGACACACACCCGUAGACUGAAACACAC